rnacentral:rRNA from 1 species
GACGAACGCUGGCGGCGUGCUUAACACAUGCAAGUCGAGCGGUAAGGCCCUUUCGGGGGUACACGAGCGGCGAACGGGUGAGUAACACGUGGGUGACCUGCCCUCAGCUCUGGGAUAAGCCUGGGAAACCGGGUCUAAUACUGGAUAUGACUCCAUGACGCAUGUUGUGGGGUGGAAAGCCUUGUGCGGCUGAGGAUGGGCCCGCGGCCUAUCAGCUUGUUGGUGGGGUGAGGCCUACCAAGGCGAACGACGGGUAGCCGGCCUGAGAGGGCGACCGGCCACACUGGGACUGAGACACGGCCCAGACUCCUACGGGAGGCAGCAGUGGGGAAUCUUGCGCAAUGGGCGAAAGCCUGACGCAGCGACGCCGCGUGAGGGAUGACGGCCUCGGU